rnacentral:misc_RNA from 1 species
GAUGAAGAACGUAGCAAAAUGCGAUAAGUAAUGUGAAUUGCAGAAUUCAGUGAAUCAUCGAAUCUUUGAACGCACAUUGCGCCCGCUGGUAUUCCGGCGGGCAUGCCUGUUCGAGCGUCAUUUCAACCCUCAAGCCCCCGGGUUUGGUGUUGGGGAUCGGCUCUGCCCUCUGGGCGGUGCCGCCCCCGAAAUACAUUGGCGGUCUCGCUGCAGCCUCCAUUGCGUAGUAGCUAACACCUCGCAACUGGAACGCGGCGCGGCCAUGCCGUAAAACCCCAACUUCUGAAUGUUGACCUCGCAUCAGGUAGGAAUACCCGCUGAACUUAAGCAUAUCAAUAAGCGGAGGA